CCUACGGGAGGCAGCAGUGAGGAAUAUUGGGCAAUGGAGGAAACUCUGACCCAGCCAUGCCGCGUGAAUGAAGAAGGUUUUCGGAUUGUAAAGCUCUUUCGGUUGUGAAGUUGAUGACGGUAACAUCUAAAGAAGCUCCGGCAAACUUCGUGCCAGCAGCCGCGGUAAUACGAAGGGGGCAAGCGUUGUCCGGAAUUACUGGGCGUAAAGGGUGUGUAGGCGGGAAAGUAAGAUAGUGGUGAAAUGCCUGAGCUCAACGUGGGAACUGCAAUUAUAACUAUUUGUCUAGAGUGACAGUGAGGAUAUUGGAAUACGUGGUGUAGCGGUGAAAUGCGUAGAUAUCGGGUAGAACACCGAAGGCGAAGGCGAGUAUCUGACUGGCAACUGACGCUGAGGCACGAAAGCAUGGGGAUCAAACAGGAUUAGAUACCCUUGUAGUC
rnacentral:rRNA from 1 species